GCCCUGGUAGUUCAACGGAUAGAACAUCGGUCUUCGGAACCGCCAGUGGGGGUUCGAUUCCCUCCCGGGGCA
rnacentral:tRNA from 1 species